rnacentral:rRNA from 1 species
AUCGAUGAAGAACGCAGCGAAAUGCGAUAAGUAGUGUGAAUUGCAGAAUUCAGUGAAUCAUCGAAUCUUUGAACGCACAUUGCGCCCCUUGGUAUUCCAUGGGGCAUGCCUGUUCGAGCGUCAUUUACACCCUCAAGCUCUGCUUGGUGUUGGGCGUCUGUCCCCGCUUCGCGCGCGGACUCGCCCCAAAGGCAUUGGCAGCGGUCUUGCCAGCUUCUCGCGCAGCACAUUGCGCUUCUCGAGGCUCCGGCGGAUCGGCGUCCAUCAAGCCCACAUCACAGUUUGACCUCGGAUCAGGUAGGGAUACCCGCUGAACUUAAGCAUAUCAAUAAGCGGAGGAAAAGAAACCAACAGGGAUUGCCCUAGUAACGGCGAGUGAAGCGGCAACAGCUCAAAUUUGAAAUCUGGCUCCUUUGGAGUCCGAGUUGUAAUUUGCAGAGGGUGCUUUGGCGUCGGCAGCGGUCUAAGUUCCUUGGAACAGGACAUCACAGAGGGUGAGAAUCCCGUACGUGGUCGCCUGCCUUCGCCGUGUAAAGCCCCUUCGACGAGUCGAGUUGUUUGGGAAUGCAGCUCUAAAUGGGAGGUAAAUUUCUUCUAAAGCUAAAUACCGGCCAGAGACCGAUAGCGCACAAGUAGAGUGAUCGAAAGAUGAAAAGCACUUUGGAAAGAGAGUCAAACAGCACGUGAAAUUGUUGAAAGGGAAGCGCUUGCAGCCAGACUUGCUCGUAGUUGCUCAUCCGGGUCCGCCCGGAGCACUCUUCUGCGAGCAGGCCAGCAUCAGUUUGGGCGACCGGAUAAAGGCCUCUGUCAUGUAUCUUCCUUCGGGAUGACCUUAUAGGGGAGGCGUAAUGCGGUCAGCCCGGACUGAGGUCCGCGCUUCUGCUAGGAUGCUGGCGUAAUGGCUGUAAGCGGCCCGUCUUGAAACACGG